rnacentral:rRNA from 1 species
UACGGAGGGUGCAACCGUUGCUCGGAAUCAUUGGGCGUAAAGCGCACGUAGGCGGACCAUCAAGUCGGAUGUGAAAUCCCUCGGCUUAACCGAGGACGUGCAUUCGAAACUGAUGGUCUUGAGUACGAAAGAGGAUCGCGGAAUUCCCGGUGUAGAGGUGAAAUUCGUAGAUAUCGGGAGGAACACCAGUGGCGAAGGCGGCGAUCUGGGUCGAUACUGACGCUGAGGUGCGAAAGCGUGGGGAGCAAACAGG